AGUGGCGGACGGGUGAGUAACGCGUGAGAAUCUGCCCUUUGGAUGGGGAUAACGACUGGAAACGGUCGCUAAUACCCAAUAUGCCGAGAGGUGAAACUUAUAUGGCCAGAGGAUGAGCUCGCGUCUGAUUAGCUAGUUGGAGUGGUAACGGCACACCAAGGCGACGAUCAGUAGCUGGUCUGAGAGGAUGAUCAGCCACACUGGGACUGAGACACGGCCCAGACUCCUACGGGAGGCAGCAGUGGGGAAUUUUCCGCAAUGGGCGAAAGCCUGACGGAGCAAGACCGCGUGAGGGAGGAAGGCCUACUGGUUGUAAACCUCUUUUGAUAGGGAAGAAGAAAGUGACGGUACCUAUCGAAUCAGCAUCGGCUAACUCCGUGCCAGCAGCCGCGGUAAUACGGAGGAUGCAAGCGUUAUCCGGAAUUAUUGGGCGUAAAGCGUCCGUAGGUGGUUAUUCAAGUCAGCUGUCAAAGGAUGGAGCUUAACUCCAUAAAGGCAGUUGAAACUGCGUAGCUAGAGUGCGAUAGGGGCAAGGGGAAUUCCCAGUGUAGCGGUGAAAUACGUAGAUAUUGGGAAGAACAUCGGUGGCGAAAGCGCCUUGCUGGGUCUGCACUGACACUGAGGGACGAAAGCUAGGGGAGCGAAAGGGAUUAGAUACCCCUGUAGUCUUAGCUGUAAACGAUGGAUACUAGGCGUUG
rnacentral:rRNA from 1 species